rnacentral:rRNA from 1 species
UACGUAGGGUGCAAGCGUUAUCCGGAAUUAUUGGGCGUAAAGAGCUCGUAGGCGGUUUGUCGCGUCUGCUGUGAAAACCCGAGGCUCAACCUCGGGCCUGCAGUGGGUACGGGCAGACUAGAGUGCGGUAGGGGAGAUUGGAAUUCCUGGUGUAGCGGUGGAAUGCGCAGAUGAUCGGGAGGAACACCGGUGGCGAAGGCGGAUCUCUGGGCCUGUCCUGACGCUCAGGCGCGAAAGCUGGGGGAGCGAACAGG